GAUUGUAUAAUACGUAAGUAUUAUACGAGGUAAUGAAUACAAGUAUAAUACGAGGUAUUAUACGAGUAUGUAUGAAUGAUGGAAUGUCGUAUAUUAAAUAAGUAUACGAGUUGGAAUACGAGAAUUAUACGUAGAUUAUACGUUAUAAAGCGUUAAGAUAAAUGUAAUGGACUUGUAGGAAUGUGUAGGAGAUUGUAAUGUCCAAU
rnacentral:lncRNA from 1 species